rnacentral:rRNA from 1 species
AUGUGGUAUUUUCUUCAAUAUGCAACUCCGUUGCAUAUUGAGCUCCACUUAACUUGUAGUGUUGUUUGUUGCACUUUGCCAUGCCAUGCUUCAUUAAAUCGGACAUGCAUCAUACUUGGUUGUGCAUCAUGCCAUGUUUAUGUGGUGGUUGUUUACUAUGUUGUUUGCUUCUUUUCGGUGUUGCCUCUUCGGGUUAGUUCCGAUAACGUCGCGUUUGUGAGGAUCCGUUUGACUUCUUCAUGGACUCAUUCUUCUUCCUUGCAGGACUCAGGCAAGAUGACCAUACCCUCAAAAUCACUUCUAUCUUUGCUUGCUAGAUGCUCGCUCUUUUGCUAUGCCUAUGCUGCGAUACCUAUCACUUGCUUUACAAUGCCUCCCAUAUUGCCAUGUCAAGCCUCUAACCCACCUUGUCCUAGCAAACCGUUGUUUGGCUAUGUUACCGCUUUGCUCAGCCCCUCUUAUAGCAUUGCUAUAUGCAGGUGA